rnacentral:rRNA from 1 species
AGAGUUUGAUCCUGGCUCAGGACGAACGCUGGCGGCGUGCUUAACACAUGCAAGUCGAACGGUGAAGUCCCUUCGGGGGCGGAUCAGUGGCGAACGGGUGAGUAACACGUGGGCAAUCUGCCCCUCACUGUGGGAUAACUCCGGGAAACCGGGGCUAAUACCGCAUAUGAAGCCUGGCGGCAUCGCCGGGUUGGAAAGUUUUUCGGUGAGGGAUGAGCCCGCGGCCUAUCAGCUUGUUGGUGAGGUAAUGGCUCACCAAGGCGACGACGGGUAGCCGGCCUGAGAGGGCGACCGGCCACACUGGGACUGAGACACGGCCCAGACUCCUACAGGAGGCAGCAGUGGGGAAUAUUGGGCAAUGGGCGAAAGCCUGACCCAGCGACGCCGCGUGCGGGAUGAAGGCCUUCGGG